GAUGAACGCUGGCGGCGUGCCUAACACAUGCAAGUCGAGCGAACAGACGAGGAUUUUGCUCCUCUGACGUUAGCGGCGGACGGGUGAGUAACGCGUGGAUAACCUACCUAUAUGACUGGGAUAACUUCGGGAAACCGGAGCUAAUACCGGAUAAUAUAUUGCACCGCAUGGUUCAAUAGUGAAAGACGGUUUUGCUGUCACUUAUAGAUGGAUCCGCGCCGCAUUAGCUAGUUGGUAAGGUAACGGGUUACCAAGGCGACGAUGCGUAGCCGACCUGAGAGGGUGGUCGGCGACACGGGAGCUGAGACGCGGUCCAGACUCCUACGGGAGGCAGCAGUAGGGAAUCGUCCGCAAUGGGCGAGAGCCUGACGGAGCAACGCCGCGUGAGUGAUGAAGGUCUUCGGAUCGUAAAACUCUGUUAUUAGGGGAAAACAAAUGUGUAAGUAACUGUGCACGUCUUGACGGUACCUAGUCAGAAAGCCACGGCUAACUACGUG
rnacentral:rRNA from 1 species